rnacentral:rRNA from 1 species
UGCUUGUCUCAAAGAUUAAGCCAUGCAUGUCUAAGUAUAAGGAAUCAUACUGGGAAACUGCGAAUGGCUCAUUAAAUCAGUUAUCGUUUAUUUGAUAGUACCUUUACCUGGAUAACCGUGGUAAUUCUAGAGCUAAUACAUGCUAAAAACCUCGACUUCGGAAGGGGUGUAUUUAUUAGAUAAAAAACCAAUGCCCUUCGGGGCUCCUUGGUGAUUCAUAAUAACUUAACGAAUCGCAUGGCCUUGCGCCGGCGAUGGUUCAUUCAAAUUUCUGCCCUAUCAACUUUCGAUGGUAAGAUAGUGGCUUACCAUGGUCUCAACGGGUAACGGGGAAUUAGGGUUCUAUUCCGGAGAGGGAGCCUGAGAAACGGCUACCACAUCCAAGGAAGGCAGCAGGCGCGCAAAUUACCCAAUCCCAAUUCGGGGAGGUAGUGACAAUAAAUACUGAUACGGGGCUCUUUCGGGUCUCGUAAUUGGAAUGAGUACAAUCUAAAUCCCUUAACGAGGAACAAUUGGAGGGCAAGUCUGGA